rnacentral:rRNA from 1 species
UAGUUAUCAAGAGACCGUACCGCAAACCGACACAGGUGGGCAGGAUGAAAAUUCUCAGGCGCUUGAGAGAACUCAGGAGAAGGAACUCGGCAAAUUUGCACCGUAACUUCGGGAGAAGGUGCGCCCUGAUAGGUUGUAGCCCCUCGCGGGUGAAGGCUGAAAGGGUUGCAGUGAACUGGUGGCUGCGACUGUUUAAUAAAAACACAGCACUCUGCAAACACGAAAGUGGACGUAUAGGGUGUGACGCCUGCCCGGUGCCGGAAGGUUAAGUGAUGGGGUGCAAGCUCUUGAUCGAAGCCCCGGUAAACGGCGGCCGUAACUAUAACGGUCCUAAGGUAGCGAAAUUCCUUGUCGGGUAAGUUCCGACCUGCACGAAUGGCGUAACGAUGGCCACACUGUCUCCUCCUGAGACUCAGCGAAGUUGAAAUGGUUGUGAAGAUGCAAUCUCCCCGCGGUUAGACGGAAAGACCCCAUGAACCUUUACUGUAGCUUUGCAUUGGACUUUGAACCGACUUUAGGAUAGGUGGGAGGCUGUGAAACCGGGACGCUAGUCCGGGUGGAGCCAACCUUGAAAUACCACCCUGGUUUGUUUGAGGUUCUAACCACGGCCCGUGAAUCCGGGUCUGGGACCGUGCAUGGUAGGCAGUUUGACUGGGGCGGUCUCCUCCUAAAGUGUAACGGAGGAGUACGAAGGUACGCUAGGUACGGUCGGACAUCGUGCUAAUAGUGCAAUGGCAAAAGCGUGCUUGACUGCGAGACCCACACGUCGAGCAGGUACGAAAGUAGGUCAUAGUGAUCCGGUGGUUCUGUAUGGAAGGGCCAUCGCUCAACGGAUAAAAGGUACUCUGGGGAUAACAGGCUAAUACCGCCCAAGAGUUCAUAUCGACGGCGGUGUUUGGCACCUCGAUGUCGGCUCAUCACAUCCUGGGGCUGUAGUCGGUCCCAAGGGUAUGGCUGUUCGCCAUUUAAAGUGGUACGUGAGCUGGGUUUAAAACGUCGUGAGACAGUUUGGUCCCUAUCUGCCGUGGGCGCUGGAAAUUUGAAGGGGGCUGCUCCUAGUACGAGAGGACCGGAGUGGACGAACCUCUGGUGUACCGGUUAUGACGCCAGUCGUAUCGCCGGGUAGCUAUGUUCGGAAGAGAUAAACGCUGAAAGCAUCUAAGCGUGAAACUCGCCUUAAGAUGAGAUUUCCCCGGGGACUUGAUCCCCCUGAAGGGUCGUGGUAGACCACCACGUUGAUAGGCUGGGUGUGGAAGCGCAGCAAUGCGUUAAGCUAACCAGUACUAAUUGCCCGUGAGGCUUGAUCCU